rnacentral:ncRNA from 1 species
GACCUUCUCUGCCCCCUUUCCAGGGGAGCUGUUGUAAGUGCCCCAAGAGGUGUUCGAAGAUGGUCAGAUACCGUUGUAGUUCUGACAAUAAAUGAUGCCCACUGCCGAUCUGGCAGCAUUGUUGCCAUGAAGUGCCGAGCAGCUUCUGUGAAACCCAUGCCUUUGGGUUCCGGAGGGAGUAUGGUUGCAAAGCUGUGACUGAUGGAAGGGCACCACCAGGAGUGGAGUCUGACUUAAUUUGACACAACACGGGAAACCUCACCCUGACAUGGAUGAGGAAAUCCCAGUAAGUGUGUCAUAACUCACGUUGAAGAUCUCCCUGCCCUUUGUAUUCACUGCCUGUUGUUUCCACUAAUUGUAGGGUUUGUGAGGUCCUUUGUAAGGCUCAGCU